rnacentral:rRNA from 1 species
GACGAACGCUGGCGACGUGCUUAACACAUGCAAGUCGAACGGAAAGGCCCGGCUUUGGUGGGGUGCUCGAGUGGCGAACGGGUGAGUAACACGUGAGUAACCUGCCCUUGACUUUGGGAUAACUUCAGGAAACUGGGGCUAAUACCGGAUAGGAGCUCCUGCUGCAGGGGGGGGGUUGGAAAGUUUCGGCGGUUGGGGAUGGACUCGCGGCUUAUCAGCUUGUUGGUGGGGUAGUGGCUUACCAAGGCUUUGACGGGUAGCCGGCCUGAGAGGGUGACCGGCCACAUUGGGACUGAGAUACGGCCCAGACUCCUACGGGAGGCAGCAGUGGGGAAUAUUGCACAAUGGGCGGAAGCCUGAUGCAGCAACGCCGCGUGCGGGAUGACGGCCUUCGGGUUGUAAACCGCUUUCGCCUGUGACGAAGCGUGAGUGACGGUAAUGGGUAAAGAAGCACCGGCUAACUACGUG